GCCUUAUGUAUUAUUUACUGUAAGUGUAGACCAGAAGUAAGCGCAUGUCUUAUUAUGACCAAGGAAUAUGCCUUCACACAACCAUGUUUGAUAAACCACAUAUAUUUUUACAAGCGUAACACUUGUUUGCUUGGGCGCUAUUUUGGUUAUGCUAGUGACGAUAGCAUCGUGCCAUCGUGUUGAUACGUUGCGCGUCUCGCCGGUCGCGCCGACCCACGUCACGCUUCUUUGGCCGUGACAGCGUUCCGUCUCCGUUACCCCAAAACGGGCGUCUCGCAGAGUCUGCCGAUUGGUCCUGGCAGCUCGGAAAAUGCCGCGGCCGUACCACCUGAUUCAACACGCACUUCGUUUCCGGGCUUAAAACAGAAACAGAGUGCAGCGAUGACCGACAGCAGGCUGUCACUGGCAAACAUGCUGAGAUUCCAGCGGGCUCCAGGGGACGCACUUGCCGUCAACAGGCGGCAGCCACCGCGCGCAACUGCCAAGAACGCAGUGAGUCACACCUCAGAACUUCACCAAAGAGGCGUCCAUUUCAUCCAAGUCUCCUCUAAUGUGCUGGUCACCUGCCACUGACCAGCAAAGGUUGUUCUCACCAUCGCCCCCUUCUGGAUCGUCAUAUCAAAUACCAACGUUCUUUCUCCAUCCACCUGCAUCCACACUGUCAAUCCUUUUCAGGCAUGGCUAGUGUUUCUUCUUCUUCCCCUGAUUGCAUCCCUUGAACAUCGUUAAUUGGAAGACAGAGAGGACAGAUGAGCAUUGGAACAGAGCCAUGACAGAGGGAUGUUUGCUCAAAACCCAAGAUCAAUUUGGUGCUUCGAGGCAACUCAAACACACGGCAAACAUCACUGAAAAUUAUCCAGCAAGAACUGUGUCCUCAGUGGUUGCAGUUGUGUGCGUUGACUUUGUUUGUGUUGAUGCUGGCUGAUUUGUUCCCUAUCCUGUGUGGCUCUCAGUGUCUUUUCAUGACACCGGUUUUGAUGUACGUCUGCUUGCGGCAAUCUUCAUUAACUUGCAUCUAAAUUAGUGACUGAAAGAUAGAUAUGUUUGAAGCUGUUGUUUUUUCCUAAUGGCAUCAUACAUGGGGAGACAUAAAAGACAAAUUAGAAAAAAAAAUUUUAAUGCAUUUUUUUAAUGGAGAAAGUGAGUUUUCAAGAAUUAAUUUUAUAAAAAAUAAUCGAUUUAAUUUUUGUUCCAUAAUGGAAACAGUGCGAAAACAUCUACAUAAAUAUUCCCAAAGAGGACAGUCAUUAAAAAAAACUGACGCGGAUGUCUCAAUGCUUCCAAUCCUUUGCGGAAUUCAUCUGUCAUCUAUGAAAUAUCUGAUUGGGCUGGAUGCGGUUUAGGGGAUCUUAAACAGUUGUUUCCAUGCACAAAAUGUGUUUCUCCUGUUUUAGUGCACAACAGACACAUAUUUUGAAGACAUGUAACAUCACAUUAAGAAAUGGACCUCAAUAUGAACCAAAACCAAAACGAUAUGACCCACACGAAAUGAUAGUUAGCCACUAAACACUGAUCAGUUGUAGCCAAAGCCAGAUACUGCUAUGGAUUAAUUUAAAAAUAAAUCUAUUUUUAAUUAAA